GACGAACGCUGGCGGCGUGCUUAACACAUGCAAGUCGAACGGAAAGGCCCCUUUGUGGGUACUCGAGUGGCGAACGGGUGAGUAACACUUGAGUAACCUGCCCUUGACUGCGGGAUAACUUCAGGAAACUGGGGCUAAUACUGGAUAGGAAUCAUUGCUGCAUGGUGGUGGUUGUAAAGCUUCGGCGGUUUUGGCUUGACUGGCGGCUUAUCCGCUUGUUUGUGGGGUAGUGGCUUACCAAGGCUCUGACGGGUAGCCGGCCUGAGAGGGCGACCGGCCACAUUGGGACUGAGAUACGGCCCAGACUCCGACGGGAGGCAGCAGUGGGGAAUAUUGCACAAUGGGCGGAAGCCUGAUGCAGCAACGCCGCGGGCGGGAUGACGGCCUUCGGGUUGAAAACCGCUUUCAGCAGGGGCGAAGCUUGUGGUGACGGUACCUGCAGAAGAAGCACCGGCUAACUACGUG
rnacentral:rRNA from 1 species